AGAACGCAGGCCGCGGGGCAGGACGUCGAGGGCUCGGGACGCCUUGCUGGCUGGCGACCUGGCGCGUGGAGCUGGGGACCGGGAUGAGGCGACAGGCUCAGUCAGUGACAAUCGGAGCGGCCGGGCCCACUUGCACGAUCCCUGGAUUGGCGCGACCUCCGGGGUUGAAGGGGGCGGGGCGAGCGGAGCGCGCGUCACGUGACUCCCGGGCUGCGCUUGGAGCUGGGUCUCUGCGACUCCAAGGCUUGGGAAAACCACAGAUGAUGGUGCUGGAUCAUCGCUAGUUAAAGUGCUGGAUAUGCCCAAGGUCACAUGGCCUAAGAAAAACUGCUCUCCCUUCCAAGGACCCAGCAGUCUUUAGACCAGCUCAAGGUGAAGUGUGAGAGUGGCCUGAACAUGGACAGGAGGAGGAGACCCUCUGGUCCUUUCUCACUUGGGAGUGAUGGGUAAAAUAUCUCACUGUAAAUCUCCCUAAGUGUUACCCACUGUGACUGAAACGUUAUAUAAUAUAGACCGACCUGAGGUUCAAAGAUCAUA
rnacentral:lncRNA from 1 species